UUGACCUCGGAUCAGGUAGGGAUACCCGCUGAACUUAAGCAUAUCAAUAGGCCGGAG
rnacentral:rRNA from 1 species